rnacentral:rRNA from 1 species
AGGACGAACGCUGGCGGCGUGCUUAACACAUGCAAGUCGAACGGAUUCGUGGCACUUGUGUUGCGGGUUAGUGGCGAACGGGUGAGUAACACGUGAGUAACCUGCCCCAGACUCUGGGAUAACUCCGGGAAACCGGUGCUAAUACUGGAUAUGACAUCAAGCCGCAUGGUUAUGGUGUGGAAAGUUUUUCGGUCUGGGAUGGGCUCGCGGCCUAUCAGCUUGUUGGUGAGGUAGUGGCUCACCAAGGCGACGACGGGUAGCCGGCCUGAGAGGGCGAUCGGCCACACUGGGACUGAGACACGGCCCAGACUCCUACGGGAGGCAGCAGUGGGGAAUAUUGCACAAUGGGCGCAAGCCUGAUGCAGCGACGCCGCGUGAGGGAUGACGGCCUUCGGGUUGUAACCUCUUCAGCAGGGAGAAGCCUCGUUCGGGGUGACGGUACCUGCAGAGAAGCACCGGCUAACUACGUGCCAGCAGCCGCGGUAA